AAUUUACAGAUGUCAAAUAAUAGGCUAAUUUGUCAUAAUGUUCUAGUUUAAGAUAAUUCCUAGGCUGGUCUCAAAACUCCUGACUUCAAGUGAUCUGCCCACCUCAGCCUCCCAAAGUGCUGGGAGUACAGGGAUGAGCCACUGAGCCGAGCCAAUUUUGCUUGUUUUAAAGGGUUGUUUUUUUUUUUUUUUUUUUGAUAGUCAGUAAUUGUUCAAACUAGGAAUUGUAUCCCCAUCUUUCUUUUUUCAUAAUUACUCAGGUAAUUGAUGAGUGUAACAGAAGCUCCUCAAAACAGUUUUAUUAAAUUGCCUUUCAUUUUUUGUGGUACGUGCUUGAUCAUGAAUUUGUACAUAUUCUUUUGUAGGUAACAAUUCAGGUUUUAAACCAGCUUAUCCAAAAGAUUCGAGAAGACCUCCCGAAUCUUGAAUCCAGUGAAGAAACAGAGCAGAUUAACAAACAUUUUCAUAACACACUGGAGCAUUUGCGCUUGCGGCGGGAAUCACCAGAAUCCGAGGGGCCAAUUUAUGAAGGUCUCAUCCUUUAAAAAGGAAAUAGCUCACCAUACUCCUUUCCAUGUACAUCCAGUGAGGGUUUUAUUACGCUAGGUUUCCCUUCCAUAGAUUGUGCCUUUCAGAAAUGCUGAGGUAGGUUUCCCAUUUCUUACCUGUGAUGUGUUUUACCCAGCACCUCCGGACACUCACCUUCAGGACCUUAAUAAAAUUAUUCACUUGGUA
rnacentral:lncRNA from 1 species